rnacentral:lncRNA from 1 species
AAAAAGAAGGAACAGAAAGAGCGAAGAGAAAAGGACCUUCGCGAAGGCUUGCUGCUUUACAGGUAAGGCCAGCCCAUCCGUCUGAAUUGUACUUUUUUUUUUUUGAAAAUAAGUUCCAUGUUCAUAUAUUUUUAUUUUCUCCUUUAAUUCAAUGCCUUUUGUUUUUAUGUUCGAUAAUUCUGUUGUGCAGUUCAACAAAGGCUUAUUGACCUUUGCUUUUCAAUUUGCUAAGAUCGUGUAGUUAAUAAUAAAUGACAUUAGAGAUACUACUACAGCUACCACCAACCGGACCUCCGUAGCCGCCAUUCUUACAGUCUAUGCUUAUCAUAUUUACUUACAUCUGCUUUUUGUUGGGUGUUAUGCUUCAUGAUGUUUGUUUAAUUAUUCGUUUUUUAUUAGCCAAAUUACUUUUUUAUCUUGUUCUUUUCACUGUCAAUUGUGUAUUCACACCCACUAUGAGGUUUAAAAUGUUGCAUUCUAGAACAAGGAGAACACUUGCAAUAAUCUUGUCCAUAUUUGUCAUUUUUAUCCGUUUUUCUUUUAUGCUUGUCAUGCACUUACAAGUACUUUUUUUUUUUUUUUUUUUUGUAUUUGUACGUUAGAGAGAGAGAGAGAGAAUGUCCGACCAAUUUAGAGAGUUGAUUUUUGUGCAAAAUAUUUCUUGCCUAACAUAUGAUCUUUUAACUGAUAAAGGAGUGGCAAAUAUGAAGAAGCAUUGGAGAAAUUUGAGGCGGUACUGGGAUCGAGGCCAGAAUAUAAUGAAGCUGCUGUUGCAAGUUACAAUGUUGCAUGCUGUUACUCCAAACUUAAUCAGGUAGAGUAGCAGAUUAAACAAAACAGCAUUCUACUAUGAUUGAAAACAUACUAGGCAUCGUCUAGAUCACACAUCGCCCUUCCUUAACCCACCAGAGGAUGGGGACUUGUAUAUGGAAAUCUUGUGCUAGUUAUUCUAUUUGACAUGGCACAGGUGCUGCUGCAUCAGUUCAGUUAUGAUAUUUUAGCCUUGAAUGUGUAUGCAGCACGAGCCAAUGUUUUGCUGUCCUUCUAAUUCUUUUGACCUGAUGACUCACCGUGACAGGUACAAGCUGGACUAUCUGCCCUAGAGGAUUCUCUCGAAGCAGGAUUUGAGGAUUUUAAGGUAAAGAAAAGAAAAUAAUUUCACCAUGGAAUACUGAGUCAUAGUUUUGGGUUCAUACAGUGUACUGUUGUCCUAUGUCUGCAGAGAAUCCGGACAGAUCCUGACUUGGCCAACUUAAGGACGUCUGAGGAAUUUGAGUCUCUGUUAAAAAGGUUUGACGAAUCAUUUAUAAAUGAGAAUGCUCUCAAUGCCAUUAAAUCGAUAUUUGGCAUAUUCAAGAAGGAAUAGAAUCAUGGAUUUGUUUAACUGCUGAAAGCUGGCUCUCCAUGUACCAAGAAUUUGGAUCUGCAGAAAGGAGGUUCCUACUAGUAAAAUCUGUCUAUAGCAUCAUUUAGCCUAGGUAAUUGCAGAUAUUUCAGAUACUUUA